UUUGUUCAUGUUUUGCAGAAACUAGGUGUGAAAAGACAUUCUGGAGAAAACGCUCUUAAAACUGCCAAAAAGUGCCAAAUAUGGAAAGUUCCAGAAAAGGAAAGUUUUCAUAUAUGGAAAGUUCCAAAUAAGGAAAGUUUCAUAUAUGGAAAGUGCCAAACAAGGAAAGAGUCAAAGAGCGCAGUCAGCAAACUGUCCGAAAUUCGAACUGCAGAAUCCUUCCUGCCUUGUUUUGAACGUGUGCCAAGAAAGGAAAGUCUUCAAAUAAGGCAAGUUUUCAGAAAAGGGAAG
rnacentral:lncRNA from 1 species